UAGCCGCAAUCUGUGCUAAGGUAGCAUAAUAAUUUGUCUUUUAAAUAAAGACUAGAAUAAAUGAUUUAACAUUUCGAUCUAUUUAUUAAAUUUACAAAUUCAAAUUAUUUAUAAUGUAAUAAAACAUUAUUAAAUUAGUAAGACGACAAGACCCUAUUAAAUUUAACUUUAGUUUAACUGGGGUAGUUAAUUAAUUAUUAUUUUAAUAUAAAUAUUAUUACAUUAAUCUCAUAUUAUUAAAUAAAUAAAUUACUAUAGGGAUAACAGCGCAAUUAUAUUUUAAAGCACAUAUUAAAUAUAUAGAUUACGACCUCGAUGUUGAAUUAAUUACCUAAAUAAAGCAAAUUUUAAAAAAGGAAGUCUGUUCGACUUAUAAAUAAUUACAUGAUUUGAGUUCAGACCGGUGUAAACCAGGUCGGUUUCUAUCUACUAAAAACCUUCUUGUAGUACGAAAGGACCUAAGAAUAUAAUUUUAUUAAAUUUAUUUAGCAAAAAAAUGCAUUAGACUUAGACUCUAAAAAAACUAAA
rnacentral:rRNA from 1 species